rnacentral:lncRNA from 1 species
UCUAAUAAGGGAGAUGGAACAAUCAGGAAUUAAAGAAUUAAAGUACACUAGCCGGCGAUGAAGUAUGAAUGCUUUUCUUAUUUUCUUCCAUGAGAAGAUGAUCAUCUUCAUUCGAUUGCAUGGAGGAUUCAGUUCUGAUACAAUUUCCCAUAAUUUCUUGGUGUGCGUACUUCUUUGUACUUGAUUUUUCUUUUCACUUUGUAAGCAGAAUAUAUGAAAU